GACAGAGGGUGCAAACGUUGUUCGGAAUUACUGGGCGUAAAGCGCGUGUAGGCGGCAACGCAAGUCGGAUGUGAAAGCCCAUGGCUCAACCAUGGAAGUGCACCCGAAACUGCGUUGCUAGAGUCUCGGAGAGGAAGGUGGAAUGCUUGGUGUAGAGGUGAAAUUCGUAGAUAUCAAGCGGAACACCGGUGGCGAAGGCGGCCUUCUGGACGAGUACUGACGCUGAGACGCGAAAGCGUGGGUAGCAAACAGG
rnacentral:rRNA from 3 species